GAUGAACGCUGACAGAAUGCUUAACACAUGCAAGUCGAUUCAAGUUACCUUCGGGUAAUGAGGAUGGCGGACGGGUGAGUAACGCGUAAGGAACUUGCCUCUUGGUCUGGGACAACUGUUGGAAACGACAGCUAAUACCGGAUAUUAUGAGAUUCUCGCAUGGGAAACUUAUGAAAGCUAUAUGCGCCAAGAGAGAGCCUUGCGUUCCAUUAGCUAGUUGGUGGGGUAACGGCCCACCAAGGCGACGAUGGAUAGCCGGCCUGAGAGGGUGAACGGCCACAAGGGGACUGAGACACGGCCCUUACUCCUACGGGAGGCAGCAGUGGGGAAUAUUGGANNNNGGGNNNNNNGCCUGAUCCAGCAAUUCUGUGUGCACGAUGAAGGUCUUCGGAUUGUAAAGUGCUUUCAGUUGGGAAGAAGAAAGUGACGGUACCAACAGAAGAAGCGACGGCUAAAUACGUGCCAGCAGCCGCGGUAAUACGUAUGUCGCAAGCGUUAUCCGGAUUUAUUGGGCGUAAAGCGCGUCUAGGCGGAAAAAUAAGUCUGAUGUUAAAAUGCGGGGCUCAACUCCGUAUUGCGUUGGAAACUGUUUUUCUAGAGUACUGGAGAGGUGGGCGGAACUACAAGUGUAGAGGUGAAAUUCGUAGAUNUUUGUAGGAAUGCC
rnacentral:rRNA from 1 species